rnacentral:lncRNA from 1 species
UGUUUCCACCUUGUGCCUCAUCACCACGUUUCCAUGGCUACAGUCAAAUGAGAUGAGCAAAGUGGAGAGGAUGCUCCUACUAACUUCCCUGGCCUACGUUAUAUACACCUUCAAUUUCCUCAGUCCACUGACCAGCAGAGUGGUGAGACCCCAACCAAAGCAGUCUCACUCUUAGGAGACUGGAAACCUGAAGUUCUAGAAGGAUCCGGGGUCUGCAGUCUACAUGCCUAUGUGUCCUCCAAAGUCACAUGUCGACACCUAUCCUAGUCUGCCAGUAUAUAUCUGACUGAGUCCUCAUCAACUUGUCUUCACUAAAUAUUCAUUGAAUGUGGUGAGGAUGAAGAGGGAACAACCAUCUAUGGCUAGAAAGAGAGCAGUCUCCAGACAUAGGUUCUUCCUUGACCUUGGCCUUUCCAGCCUUCAGACCUAUGCUGGGUCUCAACCCCAGGGCCUUGCACGUGCUAAGCAAGUGCCAUGCCUCUCAGGUCCUCCUCCAGUUCCUGCUUCAUCUUAGGCCUUCCGCCUUCCCUAGAAGAACCUGCUCUAAUUCCUGUGCAUCCUAGCUACAUAAUUUGCAAGGCCGAAAGCAAAACCACAGGCUUGGCAUUUGAGCUGUCCUUGCUCAAAACUCAGAGCAGAAAUGAGCAUUUACUAAACUGUAAAGACUGUCGUUGCAAAAUAUUUUACUAUUAAAAGUUAAUAAGAAUAAAAUAUUAGAUCACUACAAAUAUUUUGAAUGGAAAAGAAA